GGGCAACCCUUAGUAGAGCGGCGCACGGGUGCGUAACACGUGGAUAAUCUGCCUGGAUGCCUGGGAUAACCAGUCGAAAGAUUGGCUAAUACCGGAUAAGCCCACGGUCUCUUCGGAGGCUGAGGGAAAAGGUGGCCUCUGUAUACAAGCUAUCACAACCAGAUGAGUCCGCGGCCCAUCAGCUAGUUGGCGGGGUAAUGGCCCACCAAGGCAACGACGGGUAGCUGGUCUGAGAGGACGAUCAGCCACACUGGAACUGAGACACGGUCCAGACUCCUACGGGAGGCAGCAGUGGGGAAUUUUGCGCAAUGGGCGAAAGCCUGACGCAGCAACGCCGCGUGUGUGAUGAAGGUCUUUGGAUUGUAAAGCACUUUCGACCGGGACGAAACCGUAAAGCCUAAUACGCUUUGCCUUGACGGUACCGGGAGAAGAAGCACCGGCUAACUCUGUGCCAGCAGCCGCGGUAAUACAGAGGGUGCAAGCGUUGUUCGGAAUUAUUGGGCGUAAAGCGCGUGUAGGCGGCUUUGCAAGUCGGGUGUGAAAGCCCUCAGCUCAACUGAGGAAGUGCGCCCGAAACUGCAGAGCUUGAGUGCCGGAGAGGGUGGCGGAAUUCCCCAAGUAGAGGUGAAAUUCGUAGAUAUGGGGAGGAACACCGGUGGCGAAGGCGGCCACCUGGACGGUAACUGACGCUGAGACGCGAAAGCGUGGGUAGCAAACAGGAUUAGAUACCCUGGUAGUCCACGCCGUAAACGAUGAGAACUAGGUGUCGUGGGAGUUGACCCCCGCGGUGCCGUAGCUAA
rnacentral:rRNA from 1 species